rnacentral:rRNA from 1 species
AGAAUCAACGCUGGCGGCGUGCCUAACACAUGCAAGUCGCACGAGAAAGUGGAGCAAUCCACGAGUAAAGUGGCGCACGGUGAGUAACACGUGAAUAAUCUACCUCCGAGUGGGGAAUAACUGAGAGAAAUCUUAGCUAAUACCGCAUAAUACCCACGGGUCAAAGCAGCAAUGCGCUUGGAGAGGAGUUCGCGGCCGAUUAGCUAGUUGGCGGGGUAAUGGCCCACCAAGGCGAUGAUCGGU